rnacentral:rRNA from 1 species
AUUGAACGCUGGCGGCAUGCCUUACACAUGCAAGUCGAACGGCAGCACGGGUGCUUGCACCUGGUGGCGAGUGGCGAACGGGUGAGUAAUACAUCGGAACAUGUCCUGUAGUGGGGGAUAGCCCGGCGAAAGCCGGAUUAAUACCGCAUACGAUCUACGGAUGAAAGCGGGGGACCUUCGGGCCUCGCGCUAUAGAGUUGGCCGAUGGCUGAUUAGCUAGUUGGUGGGGUAAAGGCCUACCAAGGCGACGAUCAGUAGCUGGUCUGAGAGGACGACCAGCCACACUGGGACUGAGACACGGCCCAGACUCCUACGGGAGGCAGCAGUGGGGAAUUUUGGACAAUGGGCGAAAGCCUGAUCCAGCAAUGCCGCGUGUGUGAAGAAGGCCUUCGGGUUGUAAAGCACUUUUGUCCGGAAAGAAAUCCUUGGCUCUAAUACAGUCGGGGGAUGACGGUACCGGAAGAAUAAGCACCGGCUAACUACGUG